GUUUUCUGCUCGGUCUCGCCGGGGUCGCCUUCCUGGAACACUUUGGUUAUUGAUUCCGCUGAAAGAGCCGGAGUGCGAAGACUGCGCUUCCCAGGGGACGAAGGGAGUGGGGAGGAGAGCAGGCUGGCGGUUACGGGAGGGAGUUGAUAAACUUUAGGAGGGAUGCAGGGCGUUCCUCGGUACCCUAGGGCCUCCU
ensembl:misc_RNA